rnacentral:rRNA from 1 species
UACGGAGGGUGCAAGCAUUGAUCGGAAUUACUGGGCGUAAAGGGCGCGUAGGCGGACGGGGAAGUCAGAUGUGAAAUUCCGGGGCUCAACUCCGGAGCUGCAUUUGAAACUCCCCGUCUAGAGGAUGAUUAGGGAAAACGGAAUUCCACGUGUAGCGGUGAAAUGCGUAGAUAUGUGGAAGAACACCGGUGGUGAAGACGGUUUUCUGGGUCAAACCUGACGCUGAGGCGCGAAAGCUAGGGGAGCAAACAGG